GUAGUUAGCCGGUGCUUUCUUGUUGGGUACCGUCAUUAUCGUCCCCAACGACAGGAGUUUACAAUCCGAAAACCUUCUUCCUCCACGCGGCGUCGCUGCAUCAGGGUUUCCCCCAUUGUGCAAUAUUCCCCACUGCUGCCUCCCGUAGGAGUCUGGACCGUGUCUCAGUUCCAGUGUGGCCGAUCAGCCUCUCAGCUCGGCUACCCAUCGUUGGCUAGGUGGGCCGUUACCCCGCCUACUACCUAAUGGGACGCGAACCCCUCCUUCUGCGGAUUGCUCCUUUGACCCCUGAGCCAUGCGACUCUGUGGUCUUAUGCGGUAUUAGCACUUGUUUCCAGGUGUUAUCCCCCUCAAAAGGGCAGGUUGUUCACGCGUUACUCACCCGUUCGCCACUAGCUAUAAAUCCGAAAACCUAUAGCCCGUUCGACUUGCAUGUGUUAGGCACGCCGCCAGCGUUCGUCCUGAGCCAUGAUCAAACUCUGA
rnacentral:rRNA from 1 species